rnacentral:rRNA from 1 species
AGCGCCGGGUAGCCAUGGCCGGUUUGGAUAAGCGCUGAAAGCAUCUAAGUGCGAAGCCAACUCCAAGAUAAGGUCUCCCACCGGGUUAACCGGGUAAGGGCCCUGGUAGACAACCAGGUUGAUAGGCCGCAGGUGUAAGGGGAGCAAUCCCUUGAGCUGAGCGGUACUAAGAGCCCGAGGGCUUGUUCACCUAUAACUCACUCU